GAGAUUCUUCAAAUUAGAAUUCAAUUAUUAUUAAACAAUUAUUCUGUUUGCAAUAAAAUAACCGUGAUGAGAUUUAUUAUUGAUUUGCUUUUUUUCGUAAUUGCAAGAAGGGGACCAAACAUAGAAGGCUUGAGUUCAGUAUGGGAUGAAACUGAUAAUGAUUUGUGUGCGAUAAAAAGCCAGAAGUAUUUGUGUGCUUCGUUUAAAUUUUAUUUUGCUCAUUUUUCCAUCGGAAAUUGGCUAGGAACUUUUGGUUACAAGAAGUCUUAGGUUUCGUCAUCGGUGAACGGGAUGUGAAGUCGAGGAUUCCAUAAAUAUUACACAGGCAGAAAGCAUCAAUGGAGCCAUCAAUGGAGUAACUUCCAAUUUUUAAAAUAAAAUAACAAUUGAACAACGCAGGAUGAUAUCGCACGUAAUCGUCAUCAGAGGAGAUGGUGAACGAGGCCAGGGACGGAACUACGUUUCGCUAGGAAGGGAUCGUGGAGUACUACUAACUAUAAUAGAUACUAGAGUAGAAUGAUUCGACCGAAAUAAAGAUAUUCAAACGC